UAAAAAGGUACAAUAAUUAGUGAUAAAAAGCAUAAAUAGUAAAAUGGGAUAAUAAAUAGUGAUAAUCCUAGUGAAUCAAUUCAUGAAUGAUGGGUUGUUAUUGUUAAAAACACGAUUUGAAUGUAUUUGAUAUAGCAGUACUUUUACUGUGACAGUUACGAUCUGGUUCUUUUAUUUUGACAUGCUGUUUAGCAAGCAUUCGGUUUCUGAUGGAGCCAUUCAGUCUGUUGAGCGGAUGAGAGCCAGAGAGUUGGAAACUCCACGUUUUCAGAGCUAGAAACAAUUGAAAGAAACUAAUUCUAAGUUGUUUACGAAGUUUAAGUUUCCUUUGGAGUACUGAGCGACCAGCUCUGUAAAUGCUGUAUGUUUGAAGACCAGAAGCUUUGUUUCGUCGAGUAUUUCUUUUGUUUGAAUCGUCUCGGUCAAGUUUUUGAGCUGGAUCUGGAUUUCGCUGAGGAUUCGUGGACUACAUUAGAUGGCGAGCCACCCACCCAUUCGAAUGUGAUCCUGUUCUAUGUCGUUGCACAUGGCAUAUCUGGUAGGAUUGUGGCCUGCUCGUGUCACAUCACUGACUAUGACUGACUUGACUUAUUGACUUGAAUUAACACUUUACGAACUGAACCAAGGAAUAACGCCUUGAACUGAACUCCUGGAAAGGAACUCUCUAAACUUUUCUCUUUGAGGAUUUAAAGGACUAUUUCCCAAGUUUUGAAAGACAAUUCAUUUUUAUUUUAUUUUAAAGGGUCCGAUCUUUUAUUUCGGGUAAUUGUAAAUAUUUCAACCUUUCAAUUUAUUACUAAAAGAAAGAAAAACUUA